GAUGAACGCUGGCGGCGUGCCUAAUACAUGCAAGUCGAACGAACGGACGAGAAGCUUGCUUUUCUGAUGUUAGCGGAGGACGUGUGAGUAACACGUGGAUAACCUACAUAUAAGACUGGUAUAACUUCGGGAAACCGGAGCUAAUACCGUAUAAUAUUUUGAACCGCAUUGUUCAAAAGUAAAAGACGGUCGUGCUGGCACGUAUAGAUGGAUCCGCGCUGCAUUAGCUAGUUGUUAAGGUAACGGCUUACCAAGGCGACGAUGCAUAGCCGAACUGAGAGGCUGAUCGGCCACACGAGAGGGGGGACACGGUCAAGAGUCCUACGGGACGCAGCAGUCGGGAAUGGUACGCAGUAGGCGAGAGUAUUGCGGAGUAGGGCCAAGUGAGUUGUGGCGGUGUCCGGAGCGUAAAACUCUGUUAUUAGGGGAGAACAGCUGUGUAAGUAAAUGUGCACAUCUUGACGGUAAUUAGUCAGAAAGCAACGGCUAACUACGUG
rnacentral:rRNA from 1 species